rnacentral:misc_RNA from 1 species
GGAAGUAAAGUCGUAACAAGGUUUCCGUAGGUGAACCUGCGGAAGGAUCAUUAUUGUAUAACCGAGGUGCGAGGGCUGUCGCUGACCCGAAAGGUCGUGCACGCCCGAGUGCCCUCACACACAUCCAUCUCACCCCUAUGUGCACCACCGCGUGGGUCCCCCUUUGGCUUGUUCGGAGGGGGGCUUACGUUUUCACACAAACUUUGUAUGCAGUGUAGAAUGUAUUUUUUGUUUUUGCGAUCACGCAAUCAAUACAACUUUCAACAACGGAUCUCUUGGCUCUC